CCGCGCAUGCGCAGUCUUGGGGGUAAAGAGACCCCUAUACUACUUAUGUAUAAAGGUUGUGUCAUUAUUUUAAAGAUACACAACUUUUAAAAAAACAAACAUUUUUUUCUUGUUAAGUUGACACGUACGACAUUUUGGACGAGGAAAUCAGCUCCGUACAUAGAAGAGACGGAGCCUGACAAACAAGGUAAAGAUAAGGAGAAUGGUUUCACAAAUCUUGCAGCAACAGGUGAUAAUAACAUGCACGUGUUCUCCGUGGAGGAAAAACAUCACUACAGGGACCCGAAACUUGAUGAACCAGAAGAAGAUAAAGAGAUGCAUUGCGCGGGAAAGGCGCUGAAUUAUGUGUGUGGAAUCACAAACGAGGUCGACGAAGAAAAGGAACGGCAACUGCGGUUACACAUGGAGAAAGUUGCGUGCCUUAAACAAAACAAAUACGCCAAAAUAGGCCUAAAUAUUGGUUUAGUGACAAUUUUAUCACUCGGUGUUUUCUUGUAUAUAUUUUGGUCCUUUUGGAAAUAUGAACCCUGAGCAUUGCUGGUGUGUUCAAGUUGCAUUUGACACAAAAUAUCAAAACUCAUGUAAUCAGAACUAGCCUAGUGGAGUUAUUGAGAACUAUUUACAUUCUAUAUUUGAAAUAUGCAAAAUUGUAGAAUUGUAAUGUAUCUCUUCAAAACAGUUUCGUCAACAAAAAUUAUCAGGAUUAACUAGUACAAUAUGUCUAAAUAUGUAUUAAUAUUGAUAUUAAAUAAUUGAUAUAAAAUGACUGCAGAUAACAAGUGUGACAAUAAGACCUAAUUUAAACUACAAUAUCAGUAUUUUGACACCUUUGGAGUCUCCAUAUAUACAUGAUUGCGUUUUUUUCUCAAAAAAUAACUUUACGUGCCGCUCAUGUGAAGUGGUUGUGGUCUUCAUCCAUUGGUAAAAUGUUGCAAAAAUCCAACUACAAAGUCAAUCUUAUAUACAUGAUUGUUUUUUCCUUUCUCAAAAAAAUCAAAUUACGUGUCGCUCACGUUAAGUGGUUAUGGUCUUCAUCCAUUGGUGGAAAGUUACAAAAUUCGAACUACAGAGUCAAUCUUAAUAAGAUAAAUCAAAAGACGAAUUCAGUUAUUUCCUAACGUUUGACAGAACUAAUUUUCAAGACCAGAUAUUGCAGAGGCUGGCUGCAUCAUUAGCUUUCAUGUUAUUAACCUCUCAGGUCAUGUUAUUUCAUGGGAAUGUUAUUUUUUACAUACAUAUCAAAUGUACACAUAUAUGUAGUUCUAUUAAAGAUAAGCUUGAUAAUUACGUGUGAUUUUUUUUCUUGUUAUAUUCUUUCCAAAAUCAUGCAUGAAUUUGUACCACAAUUAAGUUCAUGUAAAAUGAAAAUGUAGUAAUAAAACCAAUAAAAUUUAAGACAAGA